UCGCAUUAUACAUGUGUAUUCUAAUGAUAUCAUUUGAAUCUGUUUAACUAGGUGUUCUGUUGUGGAUUUAGAUGGGGAAAAGAGCAUUUGGAGACCAUGGGAAAUCAUUUUAUAGUAGUAGUCCCAUCACUAACUACAGAAGACUACUCGGAAGGAAUGAGCGUAAAAAGUUGUCUAAUUACCAUAAAGAAUCAUUAUUUAGAAAACAAGAAUUAUACAAGGAGGUGAAAUCCAUGUGGCCAGUGCUUUUAUUCUUCUUGGUUGUGAUAAUGAGUGUACUUCUCCUGAUCUUUGGCUUUUUUUAAUUACUAUAUUGGAUAAGAAAAAAAUAUAUUAGUAAUAUUACUUAUGAUAAAUUUUGUUUAUAUUAUUUCUAUAGAAUUUGAAACGAAAAAAAUAUAUAAGAAUUUUAAAAACUA
rnacentral:lncRNA from 1 species